GGGUCAGUAGGCUGGUCGUGCCACCGGUACGUACUGGUCUCACUGAUACCUCCUUCCCGAAGAACCGUAAUGCCAUCAAUUUGGUGUUGCGGGGAAACAGGACUGUUACUUUGAAAAAAUUAGAGUGUUUAAAGCAAGCUAACGCUUGAAUACAUUAGCAUGGAAUAAUGAAAUAGGACGAUCGAUCCUAUUUUGUUGGUUUCUAGGAUUGACGUA
rnacentral:rRNA from 1 species